rnacentral:rRNA from 1 species
GAUGAACGCUAGCUACAGGCUUAACACAUGCAAGUCGAGGGGCAGCAUGGUCUUAGCUUGCUAAGGCCGAUGGCGACCGGCGCACGGGUGAGUAACACGUAUCCAACCUGCCGUCUACUCUUGGACAGCCUUCUGAAAGGAAGAUUAAUACAAGAUGGCAUCAUGAGUCCGCAUGUUCACAUGAUUAAAGGUAUUCCGGUAGACGAUGGGGAUGCGUUCCAUUAGAUAGUAGGCGGGGUAACGGCCCACCUAGUCUUCGAUGGAUAGGGGUUCUGAGAGGAAGGUCCCCCACAUUGGAACUGAGACACGGUCCAAACUCCUACGGGAGGCAGCAGUGAGGAAUAUUGGUCAAUGGGCGAGAGCCUGAACCAGCCAAGUAGCGUGAAGGAUGACUGCCCUAUGGGUUGUAAACUUCUUUUAUAAAGGAAUAAAGUCGGGUAUGGAUACCCGUUUGCAUGUACUUUAUGAAUAAGGAUCGGCUAACUCCGUGCCAGCAGCCGCGGUAAUACGGAGGAUCCGAGCGUUAUCCGGAUUUAUUGGGUUUAAAGGGAGCGUAGAUGGAUGUUUAAGUCAGUUGUGAAAGUUUGCGGCUCAACCGUAAAAUUGCAGUUGAUACUGGAUAUCUUGAGUGCAGUUGAGGCAGGCGGAAUUCGUGGUGUAGCGGUGAAAUGCUUAGAUAUCACGAAGAACUCCGAUUGCGAAGGCAGCCUGCUAAGCUGCAACUGACAUUGAGGCUCGAAAGUAUGGGUAUCAAACAGGAUUAGAUACCCUGGUAGUCCACACGGUAAACGAUGAAUACUCGCUGUUUGCGAUAUACUGCAAGCGGCCAAGCGAAAGCGUUAAGUAUUCCACCUGGGGAGUACGCCGGCAACGGUGAAACUCAAAGGAAUUGACGGGGGCCCGCACAAGCGGAGGAACAUGUGGUUUAAUUCGAUGAUACGCGAGGAACCUUACCCGGGCUUAAAUUGCAGAUGAAUUACGGUGAAAGCCGUAAGCCGCAAGGCAUCUGUGAAGGUGCUGCAUGGUUGUCGUCAGCUCGUGCCGUGAGGUGUCGGCUUAAGUGCCAUAACGAGCGCAACCCUUGUUGUCAGUUACUAACAGGUUCCGCUGAGGACUCUGACAAGACUGCCAUCGUAAGAUGUGAGGAAGGUGGGGAUGACGUCAAAUCAGCACGGCCCUUACGUCCGGGGCUACACACGUGUUACAAUGGGGGGUACAGAGGGCCGCUACCACGCGAGUGGAUGCCAAUCCCCAAAACCUCUCUCAGUUCGGACUGGAGUCUGCAACCCGACUCCACGAAGCUGGAUUCGCUAGUAAUCGCGCAUCAGCCACGGCGCGGUGAAUACGUUCCCGGGCCU